rnacentral:rRNA from 1 species
UACGUAGGGUGCGAGCGUUAAUCGGAAUUACUGGGCGUAAAGCGUGCGCAGGCGGUCUGUUAAGACAGAUGUGAAAUCCCCGGGCUUAACCUGGGAACUGCAUUUGUGACUGGCAGGCUAGAGUAUGGCAGAGGGGGGUAGAAUUCCACGUGUAGCAGUGAAAUGCGUAGAGAUGUGGAGGAACACCGAUGGCGAAGGCAGUCCCCUGGGCCUGUACUGACGCUCAUGCACGAAAGCGUGGGGAGCAAACAGG